rnacentral:rRNA from 1 species
UAAGGAAUAUUGGGCAAUGGAGGCAACUCUGACCCAGCCAUGCCGCGUGGAGGAUGAAGGCCCUCUGGGUUGUAAACUUCUUUUAUAUGGGACGAAAAAAGGCUUUUCUAGGUCAACUGACGGUACCAUAUGAAUAAGCACCGGCUAACUCCGUGCCAGCAGCCGCGGUAAUACGGAGGGUGCAAGCGUUAUCCGGAUUCACUGGGUUUAAAGGGUGCGUAGGUGGGUUGGUAAGUCAGUGGUGAAAUCUCUGGGCUUAACCCGGAAACUGCCAUUGAUACUAUCAGUCUUGAAUAUUGUGGAGGUCAGCGGAAUAUGUCAUGUAGCGGUGAAAUGCUUAGAUAUGACAUAGAACACCAAUUGCGAAGGCAGCUGGCUACUCAUAUAUUGACACUGAGGCACGAAAGCGUGGGGAUCAAACAGGAUUAGAUACCCCGGUAGUCC